ACCCCGGAAGGGGAGUGAAAUAGAACCUGAAACCGUGUGCUUACAAGUAGUCAGAGCCCGUUAAUGGGUGAUGGCGUGCCUUUUGUAGAAUGAACCGGCGAGUUACGAUUUGAUGCAAGGUUAAGCAGUAAAUGUGGAGCCGUAGCGAAAGCGAGUCUGAAUAGGGCGUUUAGUAUUUGGUCGUAGACCCGAAACCAGGUGAUCUACCCUUGGUCAGGUUGAAGUUCAGGUAACACUGAAUGGAGGACCGAACCGACUUACGUUGAAAAGUGAGCGGAUGAACUGAGGGUAGCGGAGAAAUUCCAAUCGAACCUGGAGAUAGCUG
rnacentral:rRNA from 1 species